rnacentral:rRNA from 1 species
AUGCAGUUUGGAAGAUUAAGUGAACUCCUCCGUUGCAGAAGUAAUGGCAGUACCUGGCCUGUAGAAACUUGUGUAAGGAAAAAUAUGUGUGUAGGGUCCUUUGUCAGAGACUUCCGUGAUCUGCAUGGACUUGAGACGGAUCAUGUAGGUGCCAGGAUCAACAUAAAUGAAGAUCACAUCAGCAUCUUCAGCAUAGCCAACUGGCUCCACUGGAAGCAUACAUGCCGCCACUACUUCUGCCGCAAGAAGCUUCUCCAGAUCAACAACUCUGCGACGUGUCCAUGUUACCGACCCAUCAAUGCUAGCUACCCUUGA